UGGGGAAUUUUGGACAAUGGGCGAAAGCCUGAUCCAGCCAUGCCGCGUGCGGGAAGAAGGCCUUCGGGUUGUAAACCGCUUUUGGCAGGAACGAAACGGUGCCGACAAAUACUCGGCGCUAAUGACGGUACCUGCAGAAUAAGCACCGGCUAACUACGUG
rnacentral:rRNA from 1 species